GUGGGUGUAACUCAGUGGUAGAGCAUGUGCUUAACAUGCAUGAGGUCCUGGGUUCAAUCCCCAGUACCUCCA
rnacentral:tRNA from 1 species